UCCCUGGUGGCUCAGCAGUAGAGAGUCUGCCUGCCAACGCAGGAGACUCAGGUUUGAUCCCUGAUCCAGGAA
rfam:TPA: Bos taurus chromosome 4, whole genome shotgun sequence.